rnacentral:lncRNA from 1 species
AAGAAAGAUAAAAUUAAAAAUUUAAAAAUGAAAUAGUCAUAAUCUUUACCUAUGAUAUUGUAAAUUUUUAGAAUUGACAAGGAUAAAAUUGUCAAAAAAUAGGGUUUGUACUUUUUGCACCAAUAAUUUUGGUUUUUUUUAGUUAUUUUUGUUUAUAAACUAUUGUUAAGGGUAAUAUUGUCUUUGCACGGUCAACUAACGGUCAAUGUUAAACUUAACUGACGGUAGGGGGUUUUUUACAAAUAAAUCAAUUCUUACCAUCUACUUGCAACAAGUCUAAACCUCAGGGGAGGUUUUUAAAAAUUACCCAUUAAAAAAUAUAUAAUAAAAGGUUUUUAAAAGUUUAGUAGAGUUAAGAUCAAGAGAGGAUUAUAUUCCUUCUAUUUAUUGCAAUUGCACAAGAUAAUUGUUUUUUUUUUUCCCUCAAUGAAAGAUAAUAGUUGUACUUUUAGUUAAGAGCGCUGCUAUAUACCUCGAAAGUUAACCUCGAAUUUGCACCCCGAAUUUGCCAAAACGGUGGGUUUUAAAACGGUCACUUUUGCUUUUUUAUUUCACGUGUUUGAGAAAACCGGAGCUGUCUCUAUGUACGUGUUUCUCUUAAUUUUUAAUUGCACGUGUUUGAGAAGACCGAAGCAUGUAUUCCUCUUCGUUUCAACCCAACACUCAAGAAUAUAUGCAGGCUCCUUGGAAUUGGAAUUACAAUCCAGUCCUUUGCCGUCAGAUUUAUUUACGUUAACGCCCGCCAUCCCAUGACGGUAAAUGCCGCCUGCUUCCAUCCCCAGCUCCACUGGCACUGCCGCCGACUCCAACCAUUUUUUUUCCACAAAUAAUUUUACAUAAAUUCAAACUUCCGAAUUUCGUUGAUGAAAUUAACUUAUGAUUAAUAAUAUAUAAUAAUUGCCAAUUUCUACAACAUAUAAGUUCGUUAAGAACGUACCAGUUUUUCACAUAACUUGUCCGCGGAAUGCUCCCGAGUUACCAAUUUACCAUCCUUUUUUUAAUUUCUUAAAUUCUUAACGAUUCUUCUUUUAAAAAAAAAAUUCAACUUCAAAUUAUAAUAACGAAUUAAUGAUCCAAUUCAGGGAAACAACUUUGAGGGACCACCAAUAAGAAAUGAUCACGUAAUCAAAUAUUUUGGCUGGCAAGUAUUGUCGAUUCUUUUGCUAAAGAGAUCGUCAAAAGCAAAGGCUAAACGAGAGAGAUUUUGUGGGUGUGUGAGAGACUGAGAGAUAGAUUUUGCAGAGAGAGAUUGUCAAAACGGUACGUUUUCUAUUUGCCAAAACGGUGCGUUUCAAUUCGGGGUGCAAUUCGGGAUUUAAAAUCGGGAGAAAUAGUUUUUUUUCCUUUAGUUAAUAAAUGUCGUUUGGAGCGACCGGAUAUUAUUUCAAAAUCCACUUUACUA